GCCGGGCGUGGUGGUGCGCGCCUGUAAUCCCAGCUCUCAGGAGGCUGAGGCAGGAGAAUUACUUGAACCCCAGAGGCCGAGGUGGCAGUGAGCCGAGAUUGCACCACUGUACUCCAGCCUGGGUGACAGAGCAAGACUCUGUCUCAAAAAAAAAAAAAUUAGGGUCUACCUCUUUUUUUUUUUUUUUUUGAGACGGAGUCUCGCACUGUCGCCCAGGCUGGAGAGCAGUGGCGUGAUCUCGGCUCACUGCAAUCUCCACCUCUCAGGUUCACGCCAUUCUCCUGCCUCAG
rnacentral:sRNA from 1 species